CAGAAUGUGACAAUGGCAGCAGCAGGUGGCCCUUCAGAAAAGGCCAGAUCCCCCUCUCUGUGAUUACUGCCAUCCAUCUGCAGGCAGACAGGCCCUGGGCAACUCUGCUCCUAGGGGGUACUGUCCUCUCUUUGUGGACACAAGUGAGGACAGAAAGGUGAGCUAGGAACACACCCAGCCAGCCAUAAAAGGCUGAGCCAUCAGUCCAAGACCACGGCAGUCAUGGCACCAGAAAACUUAUUUAAAAUGCAAAUCCAGACAUCUCCCGCCAGCCCUGUGACUCAGAAACUCUGGGGUAGGUCCAGCAGUCCGUGUGAACAAGCUUGGCAGGUGAAUCCUGCAAAGGCGAGUUGAGGCCCACGGGCUUGAACAGUCUGCAAUCCUCCACACUUUCGUCUUUCAACCUACUUGGGCAUCAUCAGGUCAGCCAUCAGCAGGGAUCACAUACUCGCACAGGGGGAAGAGGCAUAAGACCUUCCUGUCCAGUUUCUUCCUGGUUAAGCCUGCUGUCAUCCCUCCCUAAUGAUGCUGCUGGACCCACCAAGCUCAGCCCUUUGCAUGAUGAACCAACCAGGAACACCAGUUCUGCUUUCUGCAACCGUUUACAAUUUUCUUCCUCUUGUACACACUAGCAGUCAGUGAAAUGUUGCUCCCUAAUUCCCCUGUCUCCAGGGUAAACAUCUAUAACUUCCUUUGUAGUUCUGAUAUAACAAGGUUUCUAGUUGACCCUGCAGGAUCCCUCCCUGCCUAUGAUCAAACAAGACCACCAGAAGCUUGGAAGAAAAUAUCCCAGCCAUAUUUGGCUUGCACAGAGCAUGGGAGCUGUGGCCCCCGGCUGCCUGGAUACUAGGAACAGCCCUCAAGGACACUUUGUUCUGCUACAGUCACAUCACCUGGUCCAUACAGCAAAAUGCCCUGG
rnacentral:lncRNA from 1 species